UAUUCGUUAAAACACAGAUCGUAUUCGUUGUUAGAUCAACGAAAGAAAGGGGCGAGUUAGGGUUUCAUCAGCAGCAGCGAGCGAGCAUCCAGAGAUCAAAUGGGGUACACGAAGGGUCUGUUUUCUGUAAUUAUGAGAGACGGUGAGCCGCUGGUGAAGAAACUGGCCGCUGUGUCUGUCUUCGGUGUGCUUCCUGGAGCCAUGGUCGCCUCCCUCAUCUAUUCUCCUCCAGAUUUCAUCUACAACAAUAAACAAUCUUCUUCUUCUUCAUCUUCUCACUAAACAGAUCUACACAGCCUGCUUGGUAACUGUAGAAACGUGUUGUGUGGAGGAGGAUGAAUCGCAAUAAUUCUACUGGCUGGCGUGUUAGCCGUUAUAGCCAUUUGUUUCUGUUUUAGCAUUAUGUAUUGAACAAUGACAGCCAGAUUCCUAAGUUUUUUUAUCAUCGUCUGUUGUCCUUUUGUUUCUUAA